AUGGACUGCAUCGGCGCUAUAGAUGGUACACAUAUUCCAUUGAAAUUACCUGUUCAUGAGCAAGGACCAUAUCGCAAUAGGAAGCAAACACUGUCACAAAAUGUUAUGGUAGCAUGCGAUUUUGAUUUAAAUUUUGUGCAUGCACAUGCUGGUUGGGAGGGAUCGGCUUCAGAUGCAAGAGUCCUACAAGAUGCACUUAACCAUGGGUUUCAAGUACCCCCUGGAAAAUUUUACCUUGUAGAUGCUGGUUAUGCAAAUACACCACAAUUUCUGGCUCCAUAUCGUGGUACUAGGUACCACUUGCAAGAACAAGGGAGAGUUCGUCAAAGGCCAAGAAAUCGUAAGGAAUUAUUCAACCUACGACAUGCACAACUCCGAAACCAUAUCGAGAGGAUUAUUGGUAUACUAAAAAUGAGAUUUCCGAUACUGAGAGUGGCUUCAUAUUACUCUGUUACCAAAUAA
rnacentral:rRNA from 1 species